GACGUAGGGGGCGAGCGUUGUCCGGAUUAUUGGGCGUAAAGCGCGCGCAGGCGGUUCGGAAAGUCGGGUGUGAAAACCCGGGGCUCAACCCCGGACCUGCAUCCGAUACUCCCGGACUGGAGGCAGGUAGGGGAGAGCGGAAUUCCCGGUGUAGCGGUGAAAUGCGCAGAUAUCGGGAAGAACACCGGUGGCGAAGGCGGCUCUCUGGACCUGUCCUGACGCCUCAGGCGCGGAAAGCUAGGGGAGCGAACGAGG
rnacentral:rRNA from 1 species